CCUACGGGAGGCAGCAGUGGGGAAUCUUCCGCAAUGGGCGAAAGCCUGACGGAGCAACGCCGCGUGAUCGAAUGAAGGCCUUCGGGUUGUAAAGAUCUGUUGACAGGGACGAAUAAGCAAUGCAAAUAGUUUUGUGUGUGACGGUACCUGUUUAGAAAGCUCCGGCUAACUACGUGCGAGCAGCCGCGGUAAUACGUAGGGAGCAAGCGUUGUACGGAAUUACGGGGCGAAAAGGGCGCGUAGGUGGGCGCUUAAGUCAGGUGUGAAAACUCCGGGCUCAACCUGGAGACUGCAGUUGAAACUGGGUGCCUUGAGGGCAGGAGAGGAAAGCGGAAUUCCUAGUGUAGCGGUGAAAUGCGUAGAUAUUAGGAAGAACACCAGUGGCGAAGGCGACUGUCUGGACUGUACCUGACGCUGAGGCGCGAAAGCGUGGGUAGCGAACGGGAUUAGAUACCCCAGUAGUC
rnacentral:rRNA from 1 species